rnacentral:rRNA from 1 species
CCUACGGGGGGCAGCAGUGGGGAAUAUUGCACAAUGGGGGAAACCCUGAUGCAGCGACGCCGCGUGAAGGACGAAGUAUUUCGGUACGUAAACUUCUAUCAGCAGGGAAGAAAAUGACGGUACCUGACCAAGAAGCCCCGGCUAACUACGUGCCAGCAGCCGCGGUAAUACGUAGGGGGCAAGCGUUAUCCGGAUUUACUGGGUGUAAAGGGAGCGUAGACGGCCAUGCAAGUCUGAUGUGAAAACCCGGGGCUCAACCCCGGGACUGCAUUGGAAACUGUGCGGCUGGAGUGUCGGAGAGGCAA